UACGGAGGGGGCUAGCGUUGUUCGGAAUUACUGGGCGUAAAGCGCACGUAGGCGGCUUUGUAAGUUAGAGGUGAAAGCCCAGGGCUUAACCCUGGAAUUGCCUUUAAGACUGCAUCGCUAGAAUCGUGGAGAGGUGAGUGGAAUUCCGAGUGUAGAGGUGAAAUUCGUAGAUAUUCGGAAGAACACCAGUGGCGAAGGCGGCUCACUGGCCCGGUACUGACGCUGAGGUGCGAAAGCGUGGGGAGCAAACAGG
rnacentral:rRNA from 1 species